rnacentral:rRNA from 1 species
GAUUAAGUUAUUAAGGGCGCACGGUGGAUGCCUUGGCACUAGAAGCCGAUGAAGGACGUUACUAACGACGAUAUGCUUUGGGGAGCUGUAAGUAAGCUUUGAUCCAGAGAUUUCCGAAUGGGGAAACCCAGCAUGAGUUAUGUCAUGUUAUCGAUAUGUGAAUACAUAGCAUAUCAGAAGGCACACCCGGAGAACUGAAACAUCUUAGUACCCGGAGGAAGAGAAAGAAAAUUCGAUUCCCUUAGUAGCGGCGAGCGAAACGGGAAGAGCCCAAACCAACAAGCUUGCUUGUUGGGGUUGUAGGACACUCUAUACGGAGUUACAAAGGACGACAUUAGACGAAUCAUCUGGAAAGAUGAAUCAAAGAAGGUAAUAAUCCUGUAGUCGAAAAUGUUGUCUCUCUUGAGUGGAUCCUGAGUACGACGGAGCACGUGAAAUUCCGUCGGAAUCUGGGAGGACCAUCUCCUAAGGCUAAAUACUCUCUAGUGACCGAUAGUGAACCAGUACCGUGAGGGAAAGGUGAAAAGCACCCCGGAAGGGGAGUGAAAUAGAACCUGAAACCGUGUGCUUACAAGUAGUCAGAGCCCGUUAAUGGGUGAUGGCGUGCCUUUUGUAGAAUGAACCGGCGAGUUACGAUUUGAUGCAAGGUUAAGCAGUAAAUGUGGAGCCGUAGCGAAAGCGAGUCUGAAUAGGGCGUUUAGUAUUUGGUCGUAGACCCGAAACCAGGUGAUCUACCCUUGGUCAGGUUGAAGUUCAGGUAACACUGAAUGGAGGACCGAACCGACUUACGUUGAAAAGUGAGCGGAUGAACUGAGGGUAGCGGAGAAAUUCCAAUCGAACCUGGAGAUAGCUGGUUCUCUCCGAAAUAGCUUUAGGGCUAGCCUCAAGUGAUGAUUAUUGGAGGUAGAGCACUGUUUGGACGAGGGGCCCCUCUCGGGUUACCGAAUUCAGACAAACUCCGAAUGCCAAUUAAUUUAACUUGGGAGUCAGAACAUGGGUGAUAAGGUCCGUGUUCGAAAGGGAAACAGCCCAGACCACCAGCUAAGGUCCCAAAAUAUAUGUUAAGUGGAAAAGGAUGUGGCGUUGCCCAGACAACUAGGAUGUUGGCUUAGAAGCAGCCAUCAUUUAAAGAGUGCGUAAUAGCUCACUAGUCGAGUGACACUGCGCCGAAAAUGUACCGGGGCUAAACAUGUUACCGAAGCUGUGGAUUGUCCUUUGGACAAUGGUAGGAGAGCGUUCUAAGGGCGUUGAAGCAUGAUCGUAAGGACAUGUGGAGCGCUUAGAAGUGAGAAUGCCGGUGUGAGUAGCGAAAGACGGGUGAGAAUCCCGUCCACCGAUUGACUAAGGUUUCCAGAGGAAGGCUCGUCCGCUCUGGGUUAGUCGGGUCCUAAGCUGAGGCCGACAGGCGUAGGCGAUGGAUAACAGGUUGAUAUUCCUGUACCACCUAUAAUCGUUUUAAUCGAUGGGGGGACGCAGUAGGAUAGGCGAAGCGUGCGAUUGGAUUGCACGUCUAAGCAGUAAGGCUGAGUAUUAGGCAAAUCCGGUACUCGUUAAGGCUGAGCUGUGAUGGGGAGAAGACAUUGUGUCUUCGAGUCGUUGAUUUCACACUGCCGAGAAAAGCCUCUAGAUAGAAAAUAGGUGCCCGUACCGCAAACCGACACAGGUAGUCAAGAUGAGAAUUCUAAGGUGAGCGAGCGAACUCUCGUUAAGGAACUCGGCAAAAUGACCCCGUAACUUCGGGAGAAGGGGUGCUCUUUAGGGUUAACGCCCAGAAGAGCCGCAGUGAAUAGGCCCAAGCGACUGUUUAUCAAAAACACAGGUCUCUGCUAAACCGUAAGGUGAUGUAUAGGGGCUGACGCCUGCCCGGUGCUGGAAGGUUAAGAGGAGUGGUUAGCUUCUGCGAAGCUACGAAUCGAAGCCCCAGUAAACGGCGGCCGUAACUAUAACGGUCCUAAGGUAGCGAAAUUCCUUGUCGGGUAAGUUCCGACCCGCACGAAAGGCGUAACGAUUUGGGCACUGUCUCAACGAGAGACUCGGUGAAAUCAUAGUACCUGUGAAGAUGCAGGUUACCCGCGACAGGACGGAAAGACCCCGUGGAGCUUUACUGUAGCCUGAUAUUGAAAUUCGGCACAGCUUGUACAGGAUAGGUAGGAGCCUUUGAAACGUGAGCGCUAGCUUACGUGGAGGCGCUGGUGGGAUACUACCCUAGCUGUGUUGGCUUUCUAACCCGCACCACUUAUCGUGGUGGGAGACAGUGUCAGGCGGGCAGUUUGACUGGGGCGGUCGCCUCCUAAAAGGUAACGGAGGCGCUCAAAGGUUCCCUCAGAAUGGUUGGAAAUCAUUCAUAGAGUGUAAAGGCAUAAGGGAGCUUGACUGCGAGACCUACAAGUCGAGCAGGGUCGAAAGACGGACUUAGUGAUCCGGUGGUUCCGCAUGGAAGGGCCAUCGCUCAACGGAUAAAAGCUACCCCGGGGAUAACAGGCUUAUCUCCCCCAAGAGUUCACAUCGACGGGGAGGUUUGGCACCUCGAUGUCGGCUCAUCGCAUCCUGGGGCUGUAGUCGGUCCCAAGGGUUGGGCUGUUCGCCCAUUAAAGCGGUACGCGAGCUGGGUUCAGAACGUCGUGAGACAGUUCGGUCCCUAUCCGUCGUGGGCGUAGGAAAUUUGAGAGGAGCUGUCCUUAGUACGAGAGGACCGGGAUGGACAUACCUCUGGUGUACCAGUUGUCGUGCCAACGGCAUAGCUGGGUAGCUAUGUGUGGACGGGAUAAGUGCUGAAAGCAUCUAAGCAUGAAGCCCCCCUCAAGAUGAGAUUUCCCAACUUCGGUUAUAAGAUC